CACAAACCCGUGUCCCCUGCAUCGGCAGGCGGACUCUCAACCAUUGCGCCACCAGGGAAGCCCUGAGAUCUAUUUUUUAUUUACAUAAUUGGGUGAUACAUUUAUGCCUGAGUCAGAGCUGCUCUCUGCCCAAACAAAUCAGAUUUAUUUUAAAUUCUUUCAUUAUUCCAUUUUUCUCCCAAGCCACUGAUUUGGUAGCACUCUAAACUUGGUCCCUGCCUUACAGUCGUCCUGAUUAUGGUUCUGGUGUUUUGUUUUAUGCAGACUUGUGACUUCCCAGAAUGGAUUGGAAUAUAACAACGUAAGCUUGUUACUCUUGACUGCAGCUAACAAGUUUAAAGCACCACCUACCUUAAUCUCUCCUGGCUGCUUGGGAGUUUAGGGUAGGUCUUGCUUCCCAAAAUUUCAGCAGGUACCUAGAGGACAGAUAAAAAAGGGAGCAGCCAGGCAGUAGGCACUGAUGGAGAGAAGAAAAGGAGAGAUGCCUGGGCCACUGUCCAAGAAGCUAGCUUUGAUUGAAGCUGGGCAAGAAGCAAACACAUCUUGAAGUUGACGGUUGAUGGAACAUGCUCUCCUGCUCUAAGGCGCGACCUCUGGGCUGGAGUAGAGAGAACCUUGGUGGGAAGGUUUUGCUGCUAAUGUAUUUAUGGAAUGAAUGUAUUUCAUUCAAAUCUGUAUUCCUCUAGGAAGGAUUAAAAUAAAAACUUUUUAAAAAAUACGA